rnacentral:misc_RNA from 1 species
UGGCAUCCCACGCUGGAUAUGGUGG